rnacentral:tRNA from 1 species
GGCAGCAUGGUGCAGUGGUUCAGCACAUCUCCUACCUAAGGAUGAAGGUCCUUGGUUCGAAUCCAAGUGCUGCUA